rnacentral:rRNA from 1 species
UAUUGGUCAAUGGACGCAAGUCUGAACCAGCCAUGCCGCGUGCAGGAAGAAGGCCUUCUGGGUUGUAAACUGCUUUUGUCAGGGGAUAAAAUGGGAGUGCGCUCCUAAUUGAAGGUACCUGGCGAAUAAGCCACGGCUAACUACGUGCCAGCAGCCGCGGUAAUACGUAGGUGGCAAGCGUUGUCCGGAUUUAUUGGGUUUAAAGGGCGCGUAGGCGGUCCUAUAAGUCAGUGCUGAAAUAUCCCGGCUUAACCGGGAGGGUGGCAUUGAUACUGCAGGACUUGAGUGAAGUCGAGGUAGGCGGAAUUGACGGUGUAGCGGUGAAAUGCUUAGAUAUCGUCAAGAACACCUAUAGUGAAGACAGCUUACUAGACUUCAACUGACGCUGAGGCACGAAAGUGUGGGGAUCAAACAGG